UACGGUGGGUGCGAGCGUUAAUCGGAAUCACUGGGCGUAAAGCGCGCGUAGGCGGCUUUUCAAGUCAGGGGUGAAAUCCCACGGCCCAACCGUGGAACUGCCUUUGAAACUGUAGAGCUUGAGUGUCGGAGAGGGUGGCGGAAUUCCAGGUGUAGGAGUGAAAUCCGUAGAUAUCUGGAGGAACACCGGUGGCGAAGGCGGCCACCUGGACGACAACUGACGCUGAGGUGCGAAAGCGUGGGUAGCAAACAGG
rnacentral:rRNA from 1 species